GGAGUGGCUCAGUUGGUAGAGCAAUUGAUUCGUAAUCAAUAGGUCGGGUGUUCGAGUCACCUCUCC
rnacentral:tRNA from 1 species